UACGUAGGGCGCAAGCGUUGUCCGGAAUUAUUGGGCGUAAAGAGCUCGUAGGUGGCUUGUCACGUCGGGUGUGAAAGCUUGGGGCUUAACUCCAGGUCUGCAUUCGAUACGGGCUGGCUAGAGGUAGGUAGGGGAGAACGGAAUUCCUGGUGUAGCGGUGAAAUGCGCAGAUAUCAGGAGGAACACCGGUGGCGAAGGCGGCCAUCUGGACGACAACUGACGCUGAGGCGCGAAAGCGUGGGGAUCAAACAGG
rnacentral:rRNA from 1 species